ACAUGCAAGUCGAACGGAGAUUAUUUCGAUAAUCUUAGUGGCGAACGGGUGAGCAACGCGUGGGCAACCUGCCCUCUAGAUGGGGACAACAUCCCGAAAGGGGUGCUAAUACCGAAUGUGACAGCAAUCUCGCAUGAGGAUGCUGUGAAAGAUGGCCUCUAUUUAUAAGCUAUCGCUAGAGGAUGGGCCUGCGUCUGAUUAGCUAGUUGGUGGGGUAACGGCCUACCAAGGCGAUGAUCAGUAGCCGGUCUGAGAGGAUGAACGGCCACAUUGGGACUGAGACACGGCCCAGACUCCUACGGGAGGCAGCAGUGGGGAAUCUUCCGCAAUGGGCGAAAGCCUGACGGAGCAAUGCCGCGUGAGUGAUGAAGGGAUUCGUUCCGUAAAGCUCUUUUGUUUAUGACGAAUGUGCAGGUUGUGAAUAAUGACUUGUAAUGACGGUAGUAAACGAAUAAGCCACGGCUAACUACGUGCCAGCAGCCGCGGUAAUACGUAGGUGGCGAGCGUUGUCCGGAAUUAUUGGGCGUAAAGAGCAUGUAGGCGGUUUUUUAAGUCUGGAGUGAAAAUGCGGGGCUCAACCCCGUAUGGCUCUGGAUACUGGAAGACUUGAGUGCAGGAGAGGAAAGGGGAAUUCCCAGUGUAGCGGUGAAAUGCGUAGAUAUUGGGAGGAACACCAGUGGCGAAGGCGCCUUUCUGGACUGUGUCUGACGCUGAGAUGCGAAAGCCAGGG
rnacentral:rRNA from 1 species